rnacentral:rRNA from 1 species
UACGAUGAAGAGUUUGAUCCUGGCUCAGGAUGAACGCUAGCGGCAGGCCUAACACAUGCAAGUCGAGGGGUAGAGGAAGCUUGCUUCCUUGAGACCGGCGCACGGGUGCGUAACGCGUAUGCAAUCUACCUUGUACAGAGGGAUAGCCCAGAGAAAUUUGGAUUAAUACCUCAUAGUAUCUUCGGAAGGCAUCUUCUGAUUAUUAAAGUUCCAACGGUACAAGAUGAGCAUGCGUCCCAUUAGUUAGUUGGUAAGGUAACGGCUUACCAAGACGAUGAUGGGUAGGGGUCCUGAGAGGGAGAUCCCCCACACUGGUACUGAGACACGGACCAGACUCCUACGGGAGGCAGCAGUGAGGAAUAUUGGACAAUGGGCGCAAGCCUGAUCCA